GUGUUGUGUUGUAAGGGCGCAUGGUGGAUGCCUUGGCAUAGUAGGCCGAUGAAGGACGUGAGAGGCUGCGAUAGGCCUCGGGGAGCUGCCAACUAAGCGUUGAUCCGAGGGUGUCCGAAUGGGGAAACCUGGCCGUCGUUGUGGGCGGUCGCCGUUAGAUGAAUUCAUAGUCUAAUUGGUGGUUACGCGGGGAAGUGAAACAUCUCAGUACCCGUAGGAGUAGAAAACAAUUGUGAUUCCGUUAGUAGUGGCGAACGAACGUGGAUGAGGCUAAACCGCGUGCGUGUGAUACCUGGCAGGGUUUGCGUGCGUGGGGUUGUGGGGAUGCAUUGUGCAGGGUCUGCUAG
rnacentral:rRNA from 1 species